CCCUUAGAUGUUCUGGGCCGCACGCGUGCUACACUGAGUGGAUCAGCGGGUCGGGUUGCGCGAAAGUGUUUCUUAAUCUUGAAAUCCGCUCGUGAUGGGGAUUGACGGUUGCAAUUUUCCGUCAUGAACGAGGAAUACCUUGUAAGCGCGGGUCAUCAUCCCGCGCUGAAUACGUCCCUGCCCUUUGUACACACCGCCCGUCGCUCCUACCGAUUGAGUGGUCCGGUGAGGCUUUGGGAUCUGAGCGGAAAGAGCGUUUCGCUGUUUCUGCUCGGAAAACUCAGUCGAACCUUAUCAUUUAGAGGAAGGAGAAGUCGUAACA
rnacentral:rRNA from 1 species